rnacentral:lncRNA from 1 species
GAGAGUACCUGCGGCGCCAUCAGCCGAGCCUAACGGAGCACAGAAAUGGAAGCCGUCUCCUCCACCGCCUACUUCUCCUCGCAGCCGCAGCUCCCGGCCUCCACCGCCGGCGACCCUGCGACCCCCAUCGCAAGCGCCAGCAGGCUGGCGCGGCAGCCGCGCCGGAACAGCAGCUUCGUGACGGUCGAGGCGUCCUCGGGCACCGGCGGCGACGGGGUGGUCAGGACGAGGAGCCUCACGGAGGACGACCUGGAGGAGCUCAAGGGCUGCCUCGACCUCGGAUUCGGCUUCGCGUACAGCGAGAUCCCCGAGCUCUGCGGGACGCUGCCCGCGCUCGAGCUCUGCUAUUCCAUGACCCGGAGGUUCCUCGACGAGCAGAGGGAGCCGGGCCAGG